GAUGAACGCUGGCGGCGUGCCUAAUACAUGCCAGUCGAGCGAACAGACGAGGAGCUUGCUCCUCUGACGUUAGCGGCGGACGGGUGAGUAACACGUGGAUAACCUACCUAUAAGACUGGGAUAACUUCGGGAAACCGGAGCUAAUACCGGAUAAUAUAUUGAACCGCAUGGUUCAAUAGUGAAAGACGGUUUUGCUGUCACUUAUAGAUGGAUCCGCGCCGCAUUAGCUAAUUGGUAAGGUAACGGCUUACCAAGGCGACGAUGCGUAGCCGACCUGAGAGGGUGAUCGGCCACACUGGAACUGAGACAAGGUCCAGACUCCUACGGGAGGCAGCAGUAGGGAAUCUUCCGCAAUGGGCGAAAGCCUGACGGAGCAACGCCGCGUGAGUGAUGAAGGUCUUCGGAUCGUAAAACUCUGUUAUUAGGGAAGAACAAAUGUGUAAGUAACUAUGCACGUCUUGACGGUACCUAAUCAGAAAGCCACGGCUAACUACGUG
rnacentral:rRNA from 1 species